rnacentral:rRNA from 1 species
GGUAGCUUGCUACCAGGCGUCGAGUGGCGGACGGGUGAGUAAUACGUAGGAAUCUGCCCUGUAGCGGGGGACAACUCGAGGAAACUCGAGCUAAUACCGCAUACGCUCUCCUUUCGAAAGUUUGGGGAGGAAAGCAGGGGAUCUUCGGACCUUGCACUAUAGGAUGAGCCUACGUCGGAUUAGUUUGUUGGUGGGGUAAUGGCCUACCAAGGCGACGAUCCGUAGCUGGUUUGAGAGAACGAUCAGCCACACUGGGACUGAGACACGGCCCAGACUCCUACGGGAGGCAGCAGUGGGGAAUAUUGGACAAUGGGGGCAACCCUGAUCCAGCAAUGCCGCGUGUGUGAAGAAGGCCUUAGGGUUGUAAAGCACUUUCAGUAGGGAGGAAAAGCUUAAGGAUAAUACCCUUGAGUCUUGACGUUACCUACAGAAGAAGCACCGGCUAACUCUGUGCCAGCAGCCGCGGUAAUACAGAGGGUGCGAGCGUUAAUCGGAAUUACUGGGCGUAAAGCGCGCGUAGGUGGUUAGAUAAGUCGGAUGUGAAAGCCCCGGGCUUAACCUGGGAAUUGCAUUCGAUACUGUCUGGCUAGAGUAUGGUAGAGGGAAGUGGAAUUCCACAUGUAGCGGUGAAAUGCGUAGAUAUGUGGAGGAACAUCAGUGGCGAA